rnacentral:tRNA from 1 species
UAGGGAGACCUAAUCCAUUUAGAAAUCGAAAACAAUGAAAAUUGCCAAUAGAAACUAAAGUGGUCUAACCUAGGUCGGUCGCAGACUUGAAGUAAAGCUUUCAAACUAUGAUUUGGUUCGAUAAGGGCUAUUAGCUCAGGUGGUUAGAGCGCACCCCUGAUAAGGGUGAGGUCCCUGGUUCGAGUCCAGGAUGGCCCACCUGAAGAAUUUUAGAUUGGUGAUUUGAGAUUUUAGAUUGAGAAAAAAAUCAAUCCAAAAUCGUCAAUCCAAAAUCCAAAAUUUUGUAGGGGGGUUUAGCUCAGUUGGUAGAGCGCCUGCUUUGCAAGCAGGAUGUCAGCGGUUCGAGUCCGCUAACCUCCACAUUGGAAAAAAGACAGCACCUAAUUGUCAAAGUUAGACUGCUGGAUGAAAUUCCAGCCAGAACCUUGAAAACUGCAUAAGAGAACGAGAAAAAGCAGGCAGACACAGACAUUUGAAUGGAUGUGAAAGCAAAGAAAAAUUGU